rnacentral:rRNA from 2 species
UUGGAGGGCAAGUCUGGUGCCAGCAGCCGCGGUAAUUCCAGCUCCAAUAGCGUAUAUUAAAGUUGUUGCAGUUAAAAAGCUCGUAGUUGAAUUUCGGAAUCAGUAUGUUGGUCGUGCUUCGGUACGUACUGUCAUUACUGGUUUCUACCUUCUGAAGAACCUUGAUGUCAUUAAUUUGGUGUCUUGGGGAAUCAGGACUGUUACUUUGAAAAAAUUAGAGUGUUUAAAGCAAGCAUACGCUUGAAUACAUUAGCAUGGAAUAAUGAAAUAGGACGUUUGAUUCUAUUUUGUUGGUUUCUAGGAUCGACGUAAUGAUUAAUAGGGAUAGUUGGGGGCAUUAGUAUUCAAUUGUCAGAGGUGAAAUUCUUGGAUUUAUUGAAGACUAACUACUGCGAAAGCAUUUGCCAAGGAUGUUUUCAUUAAUCAAGAACGAAAGUUAGGGGAUCGAAGACGAUCAGAUACCGUCGUAGUCUUAACCAUAAACUAUGCCGACUAGGGAUCGGAUGAUGUUAUUUUUAAUGACUCAUUCGGCGCCUUACGGGAAAC